CCACCAGGUGCAAACCUCCAUGUGUCACAGAGAUACCUUUGGAAAUUCUUAAAUUCUUACUUUAAAAAGUAGACAGGGGAGCCUGAUGUUCUCUCAUGAUUUCCCCUUCUGAUGUGUGGAAAAGUUAUACCAAGCAGUGCCCCAGUUCUCAGUGGACACCUGCUGGGUGUCCUACACAUUUAACUCAAUCCUGAUACGGUCUGCCUAGAGAUAGCAUCCAAUCCCACCGGCUAAGGGCUCAGUCCCAUAAAACUGCCCACACUUCAGACACCAAUCACAAGUUCAGGUCGUUACCUAUGCUUAUCACCACUGGCUAUAGAUUAGAGGUUUCUACACUGCCCCCACCCCCACCCCAGGUUUGAAUAAUUUGUUAGAGUAGCUUGCAGAACUCGGAGAACAUUUACUUAGGUUUACCGGUUUGUUAUAAAGGAUGUUACAUAGGACACAGAACUGCCAAAUGAACAGGUACAUAGAGUGAGGUCCCGAAGAAUACGAGCACAGGAGCUUCUGUCCUCAUGGAACUAGAGUGUCACCUUCCUGGCAUGUGGAAGCUUUCAUCAAUGGAAGCUGAUCCAACCUCAUAGUUUGAGGGUUUUUAUAGAGCAUUCAUCUCUGGCUCCCCUCCACCUUCCCAGAGGUCAGUGGGUGUGGCUGAGAGUUCCAAUCCUCUAAUCACUGAGUCUGGGCUGACUGACCAGCCCCAUCCUGAGGCCCUCCAGGAACCUUGAGCAACGUCACCUCAUUAGCAUAAACUCAGGUGUACUUCUGAGUAAUCAGAAACAAUCCUAUUGUUACAGACCCUCCUGCCUCAUCCUCAGUAAGGGUCCUUCUGCUCUAUGCUGUUGAAGCCAAAAGAGAAGACCUAAUGCAGUUCAGAAGCAAAGGAAAGCUUCAUGCUUUGAUCAGAGAAUGGAGAGGUGGGAACCUGAAGCCCUAGGCAGCUGGGAUUGUUUUUUAGGCAGCAGGAGGAGUGGGUGGAGUUCUCGCCCAGCGGGCACAGCUUCACCCAGAUCUGCAGUGCUUGACGCCUGGGCUCCGCCCACGGCGCGCUGCCGCCAUCUUGAAUCGAAUGUUGGGGAGCAGCGGCUUUGCGGUAGGAGCUCCGGUCAGAAGGGCUGGGUGCAAGAGCUCUGCCUGCCGUACUGGUACCCUACAAGCAAAUGACACUAGAGGAAGCACAAGGGAAAAAAAGGCUGAAGGAAAGUAGUUCUUCUGGGAGAACUCAAGCUGAUAAAUAUUCCUUGGGGCAUCUGUGACCAGUGUUCUUGCCCCCACAAUGAGCCACAGCUGACUCCUGCAUCCCCAGGAGACCCUCCAAGUCCUGCAGCAGGUACUUGUGAUUUUUGACGUUUUUGUGAGUGAGAGUGGCUGUGCUCAAGUUCUUCUGUCAGCCAUCAUGUCUCUGAUCCUAUGAUCCUCCAGUUGCUUGGUUCUUAUAUCAAGUUUAUCUCUGUUUUAAAAAGAUAUAACUAGCCCCUGGUUAGUUUGAAUAAUGAAUUGAUGCAGACCAAACCCCAAAUCCCUGGAAUUCUCAGUAUUUGGCUUUUUUGCUUUCCACCUGUUCAAACAUAUUCAGAAGGUUUUCGUAAUGUUUUAAAUAUAAUGCUGAUUUCUCCAUUACUUAAAUGUGAUAAUUCAUAUCUUUUCAUAAUCUAAUGGCACAGCCCUGUGAAUUUAUGGAGACAGCCUAACAAUGUCAAGAUAAAAUAAAGCAAUA